UACGUAGGGGGCAAGCGUUAUCCGGAUUUACUGGGUGUAAAGGGAGCGUAGACGGCGAAGCAAGUCUGGUGUGAAAACCCGGGGCUCAACCCCGGGCCUGCAUUGGAAACUGUUUUGCUCGAGUGCCGGAGAGGUAAGCGGAAUUCCUAGUGUAGCGGUGAAAUGCGUAGAUAUUAGGAGGAACACCAGUGGCGAAGGCGGCUUACUGGACGGUAACUGACGUUGAGGCUCGAAAGCGUGGGGAGCAAACAGG
rnacentral:rRNA from 2 species